GGAUAGCUCAGUCCUUAGAGCAUGAGACUCUUAACCUCAGAGUCAUGGGUUUGAGCCCCACAUUGGACA